rnacentral:rRNA from 1 species
UGGGGAAUAUUGCACAAUGGGCGAAAGCCUGAUCCAGCAAUGCCGCGUGUGUGAAGAAGGCCUUCGGGUUGUAAAGCACUUUUGUCCGGAAAGAAAUCCUUGGCUCUAAUACAGUCGGGGGAUGACGGUACCGGAAGAAUAAGCACCGGCUAACUACGUGCCAGCAGCCGCGGUAAUACGUAGGGUGCAAGCGUUAAUCGGAAUUACUGGGCGUAAAGCGUGCGCAGGCGGUUUGCUAAGACCGAUGUGAAAUCCCCGGGCUCAACCUGGGAACUGCAUUGGUGACUGGCAGGCUAGAGUAUGGCAGAGGGGGGUAGAAUUCCACGUGUAGCAGUGAAAUGCGUAGAGAUGUGGAGGAAUACCGAUGGCGAAGGCAGCCCCCUGGGCCAAUACUGACGCUCAUGCACGAAAGCGUGGGGAGCAAACAGGAUUAGAUACCCUGGUAGUCCACGCCCUAAACGAUGUCAACUAGUUGUUGGGGAUUCAUUUCCUUAGUAACGUAGCUAACGCGUGAAGUUGACCGCCUGGGGAGUACGGUCGCAAGAUUAAAACUCAAAUGAAUUGACGGGGUCAUAGCUGUUUCCU